rfam:Camelus ferus unplaced genomic scaffold scaffold371, whole genome shotgun sequence.
GAAGGUGUAGCUUAGCAGUAGAGUACAUGCUUAGCAUGCACAAGGUCCUGGGUUCAAUCCCCAGUACCUCCA